GGCGCAUUCAUAUAGCGGUUAGUAUGCCGCCCUCUCACGGCGGAAACAGGGGUUCGAUUCCCCUAUGCGCUA
rnacentral:tRNA from 1 species